AAAGAAGUAACGGCUCCUUUCCUCAAAGAAAGAAACAACCGCUGCGCAAGCCAUGAAUCUGCUCAUCCACAUCACUGACCAGCAGACGACUGUCAACAUCCGUGAUGGGAAGGGACAGACUCCUCUGAUGUUGGUGGUUCUGGGUGGACUCUCUCACCCUCUCUCUCUCCCUCUCUAU